AACGAACGCUGGCGGCAUGCCUAACACAUGCAAGUCGAACGAUGCCUUCGGGCAUAGUGGCGCACGGGUGCGUAACGCGUGGGAAUCUGCCUUUCGGUUCGGAAUAACUCAGGGAAACUUGAGCUAAUACCGGAUAACGUCGCAAGACCAAAGAUUUAUCACCGAAAGAUGAGCCCGCGUAGGAUUAGCUAGUUGGUGAGGUAAAGGCUCACCAAGGCGACGAUCCUUAGCUGGUCUGAGAGGAUGAUCAGCCACACUGGGACUGAGACGCGGCCCAGACUCCUACGGGAGGCAGCAGUGGGGAAUAUUGGACAAUGGGCGAAAGCCUGAUCCAGCAAUGCCGCGUGAGUGAUGAAGGCCUUAGGGUUGUAAAGCUCUUUUACCCGGGAAGAUAAUGACGGUACCGGGAGAAUAAGCCCCGGCUAACUCCGUG
rnacentral:rRNA from 1 species